rnacentral:tRNA from 1 species
GACAACGUGCCAGAGUGGUUAAUGGGUUAGACUUGAAUUCUUAUUCAGUCAUCUAAUGGCUUCGGCCGCACAGGUUCGAUCCCUGUCGUUGUCG